UACGGAGGAUGCAAGCGUUAUCCGGAAUGAUUGGGCGUAAAGCGUCCGCAGGUGGCUGUGUAAGUCUGCUGUUAAAGAGUGAGGCUCAACCUCAUAAAGGCAGUGGAAACUACAUGGCUAGAGUGCGUUCGGGGCAGAGGGAAUUCCUGGUGUAGCGGUGAAAUGCGUAGAGAUCAGGAAGAACACCGGUGGCGAAAGCGCUCUGCUAGGCAGCAACUGACACUGAGGGACGAAAGCUAGGGGAGCGAAUGGG
rnacentral:rRNA from 1 species